rnacentral:rRNA from 1 species
CGUGUAGGCGGCCAAAUAGGUCAGCUGUGAAAACUCGAGGCUCAACCUCGAGAUGUCGGCUGAAACCAUCUGGCUAGAGUCCGGAAGAGGAGAAUGGAAUUCCCGGUGUAGCGGUGAAAUGCGCAGAUAUCGGGAAGAACACCCGUCGCGAAGGCGGUUCUCUGGGACAGUACUGACGCUGAGAGCGAAAGCGUGGGGAGCGAACA